CCUACGGGAGGCAGCAGUGGGGAAUAUUGGACAAUGGGCGAAAGCCUGAUCCAGCAACGCCGCGUGAGGGAUGACGGCCUUCGGGUUGUAAACCUCUUUCAGUACCGACGAAGCGCCCUUUACGGGUUGUGACGGUAGGUACAGAAGAAGGACCGGCCAACUACGUGCCAGCAGCCGCGGUAAUACGUAGGGUCCGAGCGUUGUCCGGAAUUAUUGGGCGUAAAGGGCUCGUAGGCGGUUUGUUGCGUCGGGAGUGAAAACUUACAGCUUAACUGUGAGCGUGCUUCCGAUACGGGCAGACUUGAGGUAUUCAGGGGAGAACGGAAUUCCUGGUGUAGCGGUGAAAUGCGCAGAUAUCAGGAGGAACACCGGUGGCGAAGGCGGUUCUCUGGGAAUAUCCUGACGCUGAGGAGCGAAAGUGUGGGGAGCGAACAGGAUUAGAUACCCUGGUAGUCCACACCGUAAACGUUGGGCGCUAGGUGUGGGGUCCAUUCCACGGAUUCCGUGCCGCAGCUACGACAUAGCGCCCGCCGUCGGGAGGUACGGCCGCGACGGACGUAAACGUACGAAAGGAAAGUUAGACGGCGUGAAGACGUGCCGAACGGACGACGACGAGGGGAGGUUAGG
rnacentral:rRNA from 1 species